CAAUUUGUGCUGCUUCCGCAAAGUAUCAACUCAGCCACAUGUCCUCCUUGCUCAGGUGAUUUCUCUGGUCAGACAUGAAUAUGCUAUUGAGGAUGUACUCAGUGGUAUUCCAAGCAAAGCAUGGCCAAUAUUUUUAUAGCAAGACGGAAGCGACAUUGUAUCAGAAGUCACCUGAUGCAGCCCGCGAAGUCGAAAGGUAAGUCAUGCUACAAGAAAAGUUACUCCAGUAUUUCCAUUUAUUCAGAUUCAAGUCGAUUUGGCUUGUCUGGAUGGCUACUGCAGCCCACUGACUUAUCCAAUUUCAUGUUCAUCGUGAUAUCCUUGCAAGAUUAAUAGUAAUUCUUAUCUUUGGGU